rnacentral:piRNA from 1 species
UGAAAUCGGUCACACGCUGCUC